rnacentral:rRNA from 1 species
AUUUAAAAAUAUUAUUUAAAAUAAUUAUUUAUAAUAAAUUAAUUAAAAAAAAAAUUUUAUAUUUAUUAUUUUUUAGAAAAAUAUAUGUAUCAUUAUAGUUUAUUAGUAUUGUGAAAGAAUUAAUUUAUAAAAAAUUAAAAGAAAAAUUUAAAUUUUGUAUCUUGUGUAUCAGAGUUUAUUAAUUAAUAAUUAAAAAUUUAAUAUUCUCGAAUUUAAAAGAGUUAAUUAGUUAUAGAUUUUAAUGUAAAAUAAUUAUUUAUAAUAAUUAAUUAGUAAUGAAACGUUAUUCGUUUUUAAAUAUAUCUAGUUUUUAAAGAAAAAAAUUUAAUUUUAUUUUUAUAAAAAAAAAUAAUUUAUUUUUAUUAUUUUUUUAUAUAAAAGGAAAUUUUUAAAGGGAUAAGCUUUUAAAAAAAAAAUUAUAAUAAAUAAAAUUAAUUUUAAAUUUAUAAGAUUAUUAAUUUUUAUAGAUAAAAAUAUGUUAUAAUUUAUUUAAUAAAAAAAUAUAAUUUAUAUUUUAUUUAAAUUUUUUAUUUAAAAAAUAAUUUUAAUAAUAAAAAUUAUGUUAUAAUGAUAAAAUUAGUAUAUAUAUUAAGUAAAUAUUUUAAAAUAUGAAAGGUAAUUUUAAGGAAUUCGGCAAAAUUUAUUAUUCACCUGUUUAUUAAAAACAUGUCCUUUUGUUUAUGAUUUAAGGUCUAAUCUGCCCCCUGAAAAUUAAAUGGCCGCAGUAAUUUGACUGUGCUAAGGUAGCAUAAUAAAUAGUUUUUUAAUUGAAAGCUGGAAUGAAUGAUUGAAUGAAAUAAUAACUGUCUUAAAAUUAAUAUAAUAAAAUUUUAUUUUUAAGUUAAAAAGCUUAAAUAUUAUAAAAAGACGAGAAGACCCUAUAGAGUUUAAUAAUUUUAUUUUAUUAUAUAAAUUAUAUAAAUAUAUUUUAUAAAAAAAAUUAUUUUAUUGGGGUGAUAGAUAAAUUUAAUAAACUUUAUUUAUUUAAAUAAACAUUAAUUAAUGAUUUAUUGAUCCAAUUUUUAUUGAUUAUAAGAUUAAAUUACCUUAGGGAUAACAGCGUAAUUUUUUUUGAGAGUUCAAAUCGAAAAAAAAGAUUGCGACCUCGAUGUUGGAUUAAAGUUAAGUUUUGGUGUAGAAGCUAAAAUUUUAAGUCUGUUCGACUUUUAAAACUUUACAUGAUCUGAGUUUAAACCGGUGUGAGCCAGGUUGGUUUCUAUCUUUUAUUAAAUAAAAUAUUUUAGUACGAAAGGACCAAAUAUU